AUUGAACGCUGGCGGCAGGCCUAACACAUGCAAGUCGAGCGGAGCUGCGGACGGGUGAGUAAUGCCUAGGAAUCUGCCUGGUAGUGGGGGAUAACGUCCGGAAACGGGCGCUGAUACCGCAUACUAUCAGAUGAGCCUAGGUCGGAUUAGCUAGUUGGUGGGGUAAAGGCCUACCAAGGCGACGAUCCGUCACUGGGCUGAGAGGAUGAUCGGCCACACUGGAACUGAGACACGGUCCAGACUCCUACGGGAGGCAGCAGUGGGGAAUAUUGGACAAUGGGCGAAAGCCUGACCCAGCCAUGCCGCGUGUGUGAAGAAGGUCUUCGGAUUGUAAAGCACUUUAAGUUGGGAGGCGUUACCAACAGAAUAAGCCCCGGCUAACUUCGUGCCAGCCGCCGCGGUAAUAC
rnacentral:rRNA from 1 species